rnacentral:ncRNA from 2 species
UUCUUAUCUAGAGAGGCGGAGGGACUGGCCCUAUGAAGCCCGGCAACCGUCAAACCAUUCGUGGUUUGAAAAGGUGCCAAUUCCUGCAGGAGAAAUCCUGGAAGAUAAGCG